rnacentral:rRNA from 1 species
GACGUAGGGCGCGAGCGUUGUCCGGAUUUAUUGGGCGUAAAGAGCUCGUAGGCGGCUUGUCGCGUCGAAUGUGAAAACUCGGGGCUCAACUCCGAGCUUGCAUUCGAUACGGGCAGGCUAGAGUUCGGUAGGGGAGACUGGAAUUCCUGGUGUAGCGGUGAAAUGCGCAGAUAUCAGGAGGAACACCGGUGGCGAAGGCGGGUCUCUGGACCGAUACUGACGCUGAGGAGCGAAAGCGUGGGGAGCGAACAGG